AGGACGGCGAGUCUGCCUCCAAAGCAGACUGUGGUGGGUUCGAUUCCCACGCCCCCUG
rnacentral:tRNA from 1 species